ensembl:snoRNA
AUCCUUUUGUAGUUCAUAAGCAUGAUGAUUAGGUUGUUCACGCACCUGUGUGGCCUGUGCCUCCCUCAAACCUUGUUACGACAUCGGCACAUUACCCAUCUGACA